UACGAAGGGGGCUAGCGUUGCUCGGAAUCACUGGGCGUAAAGGGUGCGUAGGCGGGUCUUUAAGUCAGGGGUGAAAUCCUGGAGCUCAACUCCAGAACUGCCUUGAUACUGAAGAUCUUGAGUUCGGGAGAGGUGAGUGGAACUGCGAGUGUAGAGGUGAAAUUCGUAGAUAUCUGGAGGAACACCGGUGGCGAAGGCGGCAUCCUGGACCGACACUGACACUGAGGAGCGAAAGCCAGGGAGCAAACGGG
rnacentral:rRNA from 1 species